AGUGAACGCUGGCGGUAGGCCUAACACAUGCAAGUCGAACGGCAGCACAGUAAGAGCUUGCUCUUACGGGUGGCGAGUGGCGGACGGGUGAGGAAUACAUCGGAAUCUACUUUUUCGUGGGGGAUAACGUAGGGAAACUUACGCUAAUACCGCAUACGACCUACGGGUGAAAGCAGGGGAUCUUCGGACCUUGCGCGAUUGAAUGAGCCGAUGUCGGAUUAGCUAGUUGGCGGGGUAAAGGCCCACCAAGGCGACGAUGCGUAGCUGGUCUGAGAGGAUGAUCAGCCACACUGGAACUGAGACACGGUCCAGACUCCUACGGGAGGCAGCAGUGGGGAAUAUUGGACAAUGGGCGCAAGCCUGAUCCAGCCAUACCGCGUGGGUGAAGAAGGCCUUCGGGUUGUAAAGCCCUUUUGUUGGGAAAGAAAAGCAGCAGGUUAAUACCCCGCUGUUCUGACGGUACCCAAAGAAUAAGCACCGGCUAACUUCGU
rnacentral:rRNA from 1 species